CUGUGAGCCAUAGUAGGAUCUUGUGCAUUGCUCUCUUGUAGCACUCAUCAUGUCCUAGUAUCAUUAUCAGCCUAAUUGUACGUCUCCUAUCAGGUCCUGAUCAUUUUCACUAGCGUCAAGUGCAGGGUCAGACAUCUUGUUGGUUCCCCUGUUGGAAGUGUCUGUUGGAAGAAUGAAUUGAUGGGAUUAGUGGGAUGAAGAGUUUAAGGUGUGGAACAGAACCACAAUUUUUCUAAUCAGAUUCCUUACUCCGGUGUGGAGCAUGGACAGCCUGGUCCGAGUGUGCAAAGCUGUGGCUUCCCCUCCUGUGGAUGCCUUCUGAACAGCAGAUCUGACUUCCUCCUCAAACCAAGGCAUCCUGAAAACAUCCAAGCAGAGGAAGCAUUUUUUCACCAUGACAUGGGAAAGGGCCAUAGAGAUCCAAAUGGAAACGGACAUUUCAUGUGAGUGACUAUUUCUACCCCAGCUUGGCUUCUUGCCUAAUUCAACAGACACUUAGGUGGCUGAAGAGGGAAAUUUUUGUUAA
rnacentral:lncRNA from 1 species